AUUGAACGCUGGCGGCAUGGCUAAAACAUGCAAGUCGAACGAUCCCUUCGGGGAGAGUGGCGAAAGGGCGAGGAAUAUAAUCGAAUGUGUCCUAAGGUUGGGGAUAGCUCUUGGAAACGAGAGGUAAUACCCAAUGUCCUCUACGGAGAAAAGGUUUACCGCCUUUGGAGCAGCGAUUAUCCUAUCAGGUAGUUGGUGAGGUAAAGGCUCACCAAGCCGAAGACGGGUAGCGGGUGUGAGAGCAUGACCCGCCGCAUCGGGACUGAGACACUGCCCGGACUCCUACGGGAGGCUGCAGUAACGAAUCUUCCGCAAUGGGCGAAAGCCUGACGGAGCAAUGCCGCGUGUGGGAUCAAGCAUCUUCGAUGUGUAAACCACUGUCAGAAUCUAGAAAUAAUGAUCAGAUUCAGAGGAAGGGCCGGCUAAUCUCG
rnacentral:rRNA from 1 species